rnacentral:rRNA from 1 species
GAUGAACGCUGGCGGCAGGCUUAACACAUGCAAGUCGAGCGGAAACGAUGAUAGCUUGCUAUCAGGCGUCGAGCGGCGGACGGGUGAGUAAUGCUUGGGGAAUAUGCCUUUUGGUGGGGGACAACAGUUGGAAACGACUGCUAAUACCGCAUAAUGUCUGAGGACCAAAGCGGGGGACCUUCGGGCCUCGUGCCAAAAGAUUAGCCCAAGUGAGAUUAGCUAGGUUGGUGGGGUAAGGCCUACCAAGGCGACGAUCUCUAGCUGGUUUGAGAGGAUGAUCAGCCACACUGGGACUGAGACACGGCCCAGACUCCUACGGGAGGCAGCAGUGGGGAAUAUUGCACAA